GAUGAAGAACGUAGCGAAAUGCGACAAGUAAUGUGAAUUGCAGAAUUCCGUGAAUCAUCGAAUCUUUGAACGCACAUUGCGCCCGCCAGUAUUCUGGCGGGCAUGCCUGUUCGAGCGUCAUUACAACCCUCAGGCCCCCGGGCCUGGCGUUGGGGAUCGGCGGAAGCCCCCUGUGGGCACACGCCGUCCCUCAAAUACAGUGGCGGUCCCGCCGCAGCUUCCAUUGCGUAGUAGCUAACACCUCGCAACUGGAGAGCGGCGCGGCCAUGCCGUAAAACACCCAACUUCUGAAUGUUGACCUCGAAUCAGGUAGGAAUACCCGCUGAACUUAAGCAUAUCAAUAAGCGGAGGA
rnacentral:misc_RNA from 1 species